UACGGAGGGGGCUAGCGUUGUUCGGAAAUACUGGGCGUAAAGCGCACGUAGGCGGCGCAGCAAGUCAGGGGUGAAAUCCCGGGGCUCAACCUCGGAACUGCCCUUGAAACUGCAGUGCUAGAAUCUUGGAGAGGCGAGUGGAAUUCCGAGUGUAGAGGUGAAAUUCGUAGAUAUUCGGAAGAACACCAGUGGCGAAGGCGACUCGCUGGACAAGUAUUGACGCUGAGGUGCGAAAGCGUGGGGAGCAAACGGG
rnacentral:rRNA from 1 species